ACUAUGUCAGGGAGUGUGAGCUCAGGAGUCUGAGAAACCUCUGUGGUUCAUCCACAGGGCUUGGGGAAGGUGCUCCAGGCAGAAAGUUCAGUGAAUGCUGAGAGUUGAUUGCUCUCUGGACAACUGGGAGCACUCUGGACUAUCCACCACCAUGGAGCCCCCUGAGGCUGUCUUCUUUAACAUUCAGAUGGAAGUAUGUUCACUCAGAGGGUGAGAGUACAACCAAGAUGUGGUGACUUUACUGUGAAUUGUACAAGUAGUGCUCAGCAAAACAGUAGGUGCACCUUUGGCUCUUUAGUGCUGUGCUGGUCAACAUGUAGGAUCCCCUCUUCCAUGAGAGCACGGUGCUCUCAGAGACUGAGGAAUGACUGAGGAAUGGAACCGAGUUUCUCCAGAGGCAGAGACAUUCAGGACACAGGAAGGGAAGAGGAAAAGCAGCACAUAACACCUGUGCAGUGGAGAAGAGGGCUGCUGUGCCCCUGAGUCUGGAUGGGCUUUGCAUCUCAGGUCAUCCCUAUAAAGGUAUUUGGGGAAAAGACAAAGGUGGUGGCACAGGAAGCAGCUCUCAAGGAGAGGAUGGGACUAACAAAAUAAUCACUGCAGGAUAAAGGGCUCCUGGUUUGCAUCAGAGUUGCUGGAAUAAUCAGAGUUCUGAAAUCAUUAUUACUGAAGAUUUUGUCCAAGUCUGUUUUCAGUUCUAUUGUCACCAAA